CCAGGACAAGUUAUGCCUGGAACCUGCUGACGGUGUUCCCGAAAGGAACCAGGGAGAGCGGGUGGUCCUGGAAAUGACUGCAGGUCUCCAGGGGCACAACAUAACAUGUGACAAUUUCUGCAAUUUCUGCUCUUGGUCAGGAGCUGCUCCAAAAAAAACGACCAUGGUGGGUGGGGACUGUCAGAAGGUACAAGCCUGAGUUGCCCACUGCUUUACUCACUACCAAGGACAGGGAUCGUUUUUCCUCUAAAUCUGCCUCCACCGAUACACAGAUUCGUGUGUCCUACUGCCCGAAGAAAAAGAGGAAUGUGCUCCUGAUGACAACUCUGCACAGUGAUGCCUCUGUGAGUAUCAGGGAGGACAGGAAGCCCAACGCUGUCCUGGAUUACAACAGGAACAAAGAGGGAAUUGACAACCUUGAUGAGGUUACUGGCACAUACUCUUGUAAGAGGAUGACGACACGUUGGUUUGCACAUGGUGUUCUUCAAUAUCCUAGAUGUGUCGGCCUACAAUGCGUUUGUGGUGUGGAUGGAGGUGAUUUCAGGCUGGAAGCAGGGGAAAUUCUUCAAGAGGAGACUAUUCCUAGAAGAGUUGGGGAAAGCCAUGGUGGCACCCCUCAUUCAAAGGCACAAACACCUUCCUCCAACACCAUCCUCUGCUGGAUUGGUUAGAGAUAUACAAGGGCCAGAAGCAAGAUCUACGGCCGCCAGAGACAGAAGAGACAAAAAUGUAACCACCAUUGAUUGACAAAUUGUGAACAUUUUCAUGUUUUGGUUAUUGUUGGUAAUACUGUUAUUGUUACUGUUGUUAUUUAAUGUGUUCAGCCAUUAAUUUUAUAAUAUGGUAAAGUUUUCAUAUGUUGUUUUGGGCAUGUCCUUUCUUUACUAAUAAAAUCAUACCGGUCAGUUUUGACCGGGAACACAACAGAUGUUAUUUUGUGCCACUUAAAAAAAAUGUUUGAAAUGGUUUCAAAACAAAUGUCCUUGUUAAACUUUGACACAAGUAGUAUGUGAUAAAUAGCACAAUAUGUUUAAUCUGAGUAUUUGUUAUAGUCAAAAUAAUCCAUACAUUAUGCUUUUUUACUCAAAAACUGUCAUCUUUGUUUUCUUUAUUAUUUUGGUUAGGUCAGGGUGUGUUGAGGUUGGUACGUGUGUUUUGUCUAGGGUUUUUGUAUAUCUAUGGGGUUUUGGUAUGUCUAGAUAAAUGUAGGUCUAUGGUGGCCUGAAUUGGUUCCCAAUCAGAGGAAGCUGUUUAUCGUUGUCUCUGAUUGGGGAUCCUAUUUAGGUUGCCAUUUUCCAUUUUGGUUUUGUGGGUUAUUGUCUAUGUGUAGUUGCCUGUCAGCACUCGUGUUGUAUAGCGUCAUGGUCGUUUUGGUGUUAGUUUGUUUAGUGUUCUUUGUGUAAUAAAAUAAUAAUGUAUUCGUA